rnacentral:rRNA from 1 species
ACGCUCGACACCUACGGGAUGCAGCAGUGAGGAAUAUUGGUCAAUGGGCGCUAGCCUGAACCAGCCAAGUAGCGUGAAGGAUGAAGGCUCUAUGGGUCGUAAACUUCUUUUAUAUAAGAAUAAAGUGCAGUAUGUAUACUGUUUUGUAUGUAUUAUAUGAAUAAGGAUCGGCUAACUCCGUACCAGCAGCCGCGGUAAUCUGAGCGGGCUGGCAAGGC